rnacentral:rRNA from 1 species
GACGAAGGUGGCGAGCGUUGUUCGGAAUCACUGGGCAUAAAGCGCACGUAGGCGGUGACGUAAGUUGGGUGUGAAAUCCCUCGGCCCAACCGAGGAACUGCGCCCAGUACUGCGUUGCUUGAGGAUCCAAGGGGUGCAUGGAAUUCCCGGUGGAGCGGUGAAAUGCGUUGAUAUCGGGAGGAACUCCGGCGGCGAAAGCGGUGCACUGGUGGAUUACUGACGCUGAGGUGCGAAAGCCAGGGGAGCAAACGGG